ACAAGGUAAAGUGCAUGGUUGUUUUGUGUUUAGUUCCAUUCCGCUGCUCCGCAGACACCAUGGAGAGAGUCGCUGUCUGAGAGCCACGGCACGGACAGAACUCUCACUCUGACACUGUUUCCUGGAACCCCCAAAAAACGUCAUGACGUAUUGUGCGUGGCCUCUGCACAGACGACGCUGAAGAGCCGGCUUUUUUAUUUUACUCGAGUGAUCCGUCAUCACAACACAAACGAUCGUUGUUGCUAUGCAAAAUGAGGACGUCAAUGACGCGAAGGGGAGGAGUGUUGCUGUGACAACCAGGAAUGUUCAACAAAACACGAGCGCGGGAAACAAAACAUGAUUUAGCCCAUUUAACCUACAGCGAUGCACUUUGACACAGUUAUAGCCUACUAUUGUCAACACUUUAUAUCUUUUAUUAACGUCAUGUUACGAAACUGAAGCCUGCACGGUUAAAACAGGACAUUCAGAGGAAAAGGAAAAACGCAAGUGAGUUCUCAGAGAAGACCCACGCUAUUGUUUAUAAUCACGUCUGGCCACUAGGCUACUGAGAAAAGCAACAUGCUGUUGUGGAAAAGUUGGGCCUACAUUUAACAAACCAGUUAUCAGUUUGCUGUGCAACCAAACACACCCUCGGAUGGAUUGCACACCAAAGGUCUACAUAACGUCAUGUCACUGUCGGCCAAUCUCAGAUGGUGUAUUUCCCAGCAAGGUCCGCCCCUUUUACAGGAUGCACCAUAUAUGGAAAAUUACGUAUUGGGGAUCCCGUUUCUGGAAUAUUCCAUUUCUCAA